CGAGCGGCGAACGGGUGAGUAACACGUGGGUGAUCUGCCUUGCACUUCGGGAUAAGCCUGGGAAACUGGGUCUAAUACCGGAUAUGACCUUCCGAUGCAUGCUGGGUGGUGGAAAGAUUUAUCGGUGCGAGAUGGGCCCGCGGCCUAUCAGCUUGUUGGUGAGGUAACGGCUCACCAAGGCGACGACGGGUAGCCGACCUGAGAGGGUGACCGGCCACACUGGGACUGAGACACGGCCCAGACUCCUACGGGAGGCAGCAGUGGGGAAUAUUGCACAAUGGGCGAAAGCCUGAUGCAGCGACGCCGCGUGCGGGAUGACGGCCUUCGGGUUGUAAACCGCUUUUGACAGGGACGAAGCGCAAGUGACUGUACCUGUAGAAUAAGGACCGGCCAACUACGUGCCAGCAGCCGCGGUAAUACGUAGGGUCCGAGCGUUGUCCGGAAUUACUGGGCGUAAAGAGCUUGUAGGCGGUUCGUCGCGUCGUUUGUGAAAACUUGGGGCUCAACCUUAAGCUUGCAGGCGAUACGGGCGGACUAGAGUACUUCAGGGGAGACUGGAAUUCCUGGUGUAGCGGUGAAAUGCGCAGAUAUCAGGAGGAACACCGGUGGCGAAGGCGGGUCUCUGGGAAGUAACUGACGCUGAGAAGCGAAAGCAUGGGUAGCAAACAGGAUUAGAUACCCUGGUAGUCCAUGCCGUAAACGGUGGGUACUAGGUGUGGGGCUCCUUCCACGGACUCCGUGCCGUAGCUAACGCAUUAAGUACCCCGCCUGGGGAGUACGGCCGCAAGGCUAAAACUCAAAGAAAUUGACGGGGGCCCGCACAAGCGGCGGAGCAUGUGGAUUAAUUCGAUGCAACGCGAAGAACCUUACCUGGGUUUGACAUACACCAGAAAGCCGUAGAGAUACGGCCCCCCUUGUGGUUGGUGUACAGGUGGUGCAUGGCUGUCGUCAGCUCGUGUCGUGAGAUGUUGGGUUAAGUCCCGCAACGAGCGCAACCCUUAUCUUAUGUUGCCAGCGCGUAAUGGCGGGGACUCGUGAGAGACUGCCGGGGUCAACUCGGAGGAAGGUGGGGACGACGUCAAGUCAUCAUGCCCCUUAUGUCCAGGGCUUCACACAUGCUACAAUGGCCGGUACAGAGGGCUGCGAUACCGUGAGGUGGAGCGAAUCCCUUAAAGCCGGUCUCAGUUCGGAUCGGGGUCUGCAACUCGACCCCGUGAAGUUGGAGUCGCUAGUAAUCGCAGAUC
rnacentral:rRNA from 1 species